UACGGAGGGGACUAGCGUUGUUCGGAAUUACUGGGCGUAAAGCGCUCGUAGGCGGAUUUGUAAGUCAGGGGUGAAAUCCCGGGGCUCAACCUCGGAACUGCCUUUGAUACUGCAAAUCUCGAGUCCGGAAGAGGUGAGUGGAAUUCCUAGUGUAGAGGUGAAAUUCGUAGAUAUUAGGAAGAACACCAGUGGCGAAGGCGGCGCACUGGUCCGGUACUGACGCUGAGGUGCGAAAGCGUGGGGAGCAAACAGG
rnacentral:rRNA from 1 species